rnacentral:lncRNA from 1 species
CGGGGCUCACGCAAUCCUCCCACCUCAGCCUCCUGAGUAGCUGGGACUAUAGGUGUGUGCCACCACACCCAGCUAAUAUCUCUUCCUAAAAAUCUACAACCCCAGUCCAAUCAUAAGAGAACAGACAAAUUCAAAUUAAAUGCACUACAAAAUAUGUAAUCAGUAGGCUAAAAAAGUGUCAAGGUCAUGAAAAACAAGGAAAGACGAAGAAAGUACCAGGAAGGGGAGACUAAGGAGACAAAUGGAGAAUAAGGAAACAGGAUGAUCAAGUGCAACAGAAUGCAAUG